rnacentral:rRNA from 1 species
AUUAUUUACGGCUCAGUAACACGUAGUCAACCUGCCCUGGAGACCAGGAUAACCCCGGGAAACUGGGAUUAAUACUGGAUAGGUCAUCUCAUCUGGAAGGAGAGAUGGCUUAAAGGGGUGUGUGAGCUUCUUUCAUACAGCUGCUCCAGGAUGGGACUGCGACUGAUCAGGCUGUUGGCGGGGUAAUGGCCCACCAAACCAGUAACCAGUACGGGCCUUGAGAGAGGGGGCCCGGAGAUGGACACUGAGAGAAGGGUCCAGGUCCUACGGGGCGCAGCAGGCGCGAAACCUUCGCAAUGCGCGAAAGCGUGACGAGGUUAAUCCGAGUGGUUCCCGCUGAGGGAAUCUUUUGUCGGCUCUAAAAAGGCCGGCGAAUAAGGGGAGGGCAAGUCUGGUGUCAGCCGCCGCGGUAAUACCAGCUCCUCGAGUGGUCGGGGCGAUUAUUGGGCCUAAAGCAUCCGUAGCCGGUUCUGUAGGUCCUCUGUUAAAUCCAACGGCUUAACCGUUGGCCCGUCAGAGGAUACCGCAGGACUAGGAGGCGGGAGAGGCAGACGGUACUCUACGUGAAGGGGUAAAAUCCUUUGAUCCGUAGAAGACCACCAGUGGCGAAGGCGGUCUGCCAGAACGCGCUCGACGGUGAGGGAUGAAAGCUGGGGGAGCGAACCGGAUUAGAUACCCGG